rnacentral:misc_RNA from 1 species
ACAGGAAGAAUAGCAAUGGGGGUACUGGACGUGGAAGCUAGUCCAGCCAUCCCGCGUGUACGAUGAAGGCCUUCCGGGUUGUGGCUUACUUUUGGCAGGAAAGAAACGGCACAGGAUAAUACAUGCAACUGACAGUACCUGCAGAAUAAGCACCAGCUAACUGUGCCAGCGACCGCGGUAAUACGUAGGUGCAAGCGUUAAUCGGAAUUACUGGGCGUAAAAAUGCGCAGGCGGUUCGGAAAAGAAAGAUGUGAAAUCCCAGAGCUUAACUUUGGAACUGCGCACCAACUACCGAGCUAAGUGUGUCAGAGGGAGGUGGAAUUGCCGAUAUGGCAGUGAAAUGCGUAGAUAUGCGGAGGAACACCGAUGGCGAAGGAGGCGGCCUCCUGGGAUAACACUGACGCUCAUGCACGAAAGCGUGGGGAGCAAACAGGAUUAGAUACCCGUGUAGU